rnacentral:lncRNA from 1 species
ACAAUGUAAGGGCAGAAAAUUAUUCUAAAAUAACUGAAAAAUGUUAACCUAUAUAUUUCAGAAGCACUACAAACUCCAAGAAAGAUAAAAAAAGAAAAAAGGUGUGGAAACAUCAUCAUAAAACUCCUGAAGAACAAAGAGAAAAAUCACAGUGGGAUAUUUUCAAAAUGAUGGAAGAAAAUAUCUGCCAACGUAUUUCUUUUCAUUGAGACGGAGUCUCGCUCUAUCACCCAGGCUAGAGUGCAAUGACCUGAUCUCAGCUCACUGCAACCUUUGCCUCCCAGGUUCAAGCGAUUCUGCCUCAACCUCCCAAGUAGCUGGGAUUAUAGGUGCGUGCCACCACGCCCAACU